rnacentral:rRNA from 1 species
CGGGGUGAGUAACGCGUGGAUAACCUGCCUCACACUGGGGGAUAACAGUUAGAAAUGACUGCUAAUACCGCAUAAGCGCACAGUACCGCAUGGUACAGUGUGAAAAACUCCGGUGGUGUGAGAUGGAUCCGCGUCUGAUUAGCCAGUUGGCGGGGUAACGGCCCACCAAAGCGACGAUCAGUAGCCGACCUGAGAGGGUGACCGGCCACAUUGGGAUUGAGACACGGCCCAA